AUCGCUUCUUGGCCUUUUGGCUAAAUCAAAUGUAGUAUCUGUUCUUAUCAGCUUAAUAUCUUAUAUUCCUCUAUCCGAAGAUAAUAUGUAAAUGGAUUUUUGGAGCAGGGAGGUGGAAUAUUGGCUUGCUGCAUCCACUCCCUUCCAUCGACCUGGUAUUGCGGUACUUCCAGGAAUGGUGCACCUCUG
ensembl:snRNA U2 U2 spliceosomal RNA